CCUACGGGUGGCUGCAGUGGGGAAUAUUGGACAAUGGGGGGAACCCUGAUCCAGCCAUGCCGCGUGUGUGAAGAAGGCCCUCGGGUUGUAAAGCACUUUCAGUGAGGAAGAACGCCUGGUGGUUAAUACCCAUCAGGAAAGACAUCACUCACAGAAGAAGCACCGGCUAACUCCGUGCCAGCAGCCGCGGUAAUACGGAGGGUGCGAGCGUUAAUCGGAAUUACUGGGCGUAAAGCGCGCGUAGGUGGCUUGAUAAGCCGGUUGUGAAAGCCCCGGGCUCAACCUGGGAACGGCAUCCGGAACUGUCAAGCUAGAGUGCAGGAGAGGAAGGUAGAAUUCCCGGUGUAGCGGUGAAAUGCGUAGAGAUCGGGAGGAAUAACAGUGGCGAAGGCGGCCUUCUGGACUGACACUGACACUGAGGUGCGAAAGCGUGGGUAGCAAACAGGAUUAGAUACCCUAGUAGUC
rnacentral:rRNA from 1 species